rnacentral:rRNA from 1 species
AUUGAACGCUGGCGGCAUGCCUUACACAUGCAAGUCGAACGGCAGCACGGGGCAACCUGGUGGCGAGUGGCGAACGGGUGAGUAAUGCAUCGGAACGUGCCAUUGAGUGGGGGAUAACGUAGCGAAAGUUGCGCUAAUACCGCAUAUUCUGUGAGCAGGAAAGCAGGGGGACCGCAAGGCCUUGCGCUCUUUGAGCGGCCGAUGUCGGAUUAGCUAGUUGGUGGGGUAAAGGCCUACCAAGGCGACGAUCCGUAGCGGGUCUGAGAGGAUGAUCCGCCACACUGGGACUGAGACACGGCCCAGACUCCUACGGGAGGCAGCAGUGGGGAAUUUUGGACAAUGGGCGCAAGCCUGAUCCAGCCAUGCCGCGUGAGUGAAGAAGGCC